CCACAAGCGGCGGAGCAUGCGGCUUAAUUCGAUGCAACCCGAAGAACCUUACCUGGGCUUGACAUCAUGGGAAAAGCCGUAGAGAUACGGUGUGCAUUAGCGUCCAUGACAGGUGGUGCAUGGCUGUCGUCAGCUCGUGCCGUGAGGUGUUGGGUUAAGUCCCGUAACGAGCGCAACCCCUAUCAUUAGUUGCCAUCAGGUCAUGCUGGGGACUCUAAUGAGACUGCCCGCGCAAGCGGUGAGGAAGGUGGGGACGACGUCAAGUCAUCACGGCCCUUACGUCCAGGGCUACACACGUGCUACAAUGGUAGAUACAGCAGGUUGCCACAUGGUAACAUGGAGCUAAUCCCAAAAGUCUAUCUCAGUUCGGAUUGAGGUCUGCAACUCGACCUCAUGAAGCUGGAUUCGCUAGUAAUCGAAAAUCAGCAAUGUUUCGGUGAAUACGUUCCCGGGCCUU
rnacentral:rRNA from 1 species